AACGAACGCUGGCGGCAUGCCUAACACAUGCAAGUCGAACGAGACCUUCGGGUCUAGUGGCGCACGGGUGCGUAACGCGUGGGAACCUGCCCUUAGGUUCGGAAUAACUCCCCGAAAGGGGUGCUAAUACCGGAUAAUGUCUUCGGACCAAAGAUUUAUCGCCUUUGGAUGGGCCCGCGUUGGAUUCGCUAGUUGGUAGGGUAAAAGCCUACCAAGGCGACGAUCCAUAGCUGGUCUGUGAGGAUGAUCAGCCACACUGGGACUGAGACACGGCCCAGACUCCUACGGGAGGCAGCAGUGGGGAAUAUUGGACAAUGGGCGAAAGCCUGAUCCAGCAAUGCCGUGGGAGUGAUGAAGGCCUUAGGGUUGUAAAGCUCUUUUACCCGGGAUGAUAAUGACAGUACCGGGAGAAUAAGCUCCGGCUAACUACGUG
rnacentral:rRNA from 1 species